ACCCGCACAAGCGGUGGAUGAUGUGGAUAAUUCGAUGCAACGCGAAAACCUUACCUACCCUUGACAUGUCCGGAAUCCCGAAGAGAUUUGGGAGUGCUCGCAAGAGAACCGGAACACAGGUGCUGCAUGGCUGUCGUCAGCUCGUGUCGUGAGAUGUUGGGUUAAGUCCCGCAACGAGCGCAACCCUUGUCAUUAGUUGCCAUCAUUUGGUUGGGCACUCUAAUGAGACUGCCGGUGACAAACCGGAGGAAGGUGGGGAUGACGUCAAGUCCUCAUGGCCCUUAUGGGUAGGGCUUCACACGUCAUACAAUGGUCGGUACAGAGGGUUGCCAACCCGCGAGGGGGAGCUAAUCCCACAAAGCCGAUCGUAGUCCGGAUCGCAGUCUGCAACUCGACUGCGUGAAGUCGGAAUCGCUAGUAAUCGUGGAUCAGCAUGUCACGGUGAAUACGUUCCCGGGUCUU
rnacentral:rRNA from 1 species